rnacentral:misc_RNA from 1 species
AAUUUUAAUUCAAGAUCAUCUAACAAUGCCAUUAAGCUUUUGAGUAUUUUACAAUCAGCAACCCAACUAGAGAAUGGAUCCAAAUUCUCUACUUGCAAGGAUUUACUCCCUAGUUCCUAAAUUAGAUACAUUAAAAUACACUUCUCAACACCUCCAUCAAAAUUAAAAUGCUUAAGUAGAGCUUACAUUGCAAGGAAAAGAAACAUAACUAUAUGCUGUGUAUUUAUCAAUCCAAAAGUCAAGCAUAACUUCUACAGCACUCCCCUAACAUCAACAUCGGCACCACCCUUCAAGUGGAAGCACCCAAAUAAUUUGACCCCAACUAUGUCUACUGAACAUCAUCAUGGUUCGUCCACAAAAUAAUGCAGCCACCUGUUUUUUUCAUUGCAUCUAGAUCAUUCUUUCUUUGUAUGAAAUACAAGAGCUCUCUACAACAAAAACCAUGACAGACAUAAAACCUUCAUAUAAAAUUACUACAUUGAUAGAGAUUAAAAAAUUAAAAAAAAAAAUAGAUAGAAACACAGAUCGGGCAAAUAGAGAUAUCUGCCAUGUAAAUCUUUGAGCUGCAAUAUUUAUAAUUGAACAAGUAAAUUACACUUGCAUUUGGCUUGAGAAUGAUUUACACAGCCCAGUAAAAUAUUCAAAGUAAAAAAAUUCAACAUACACCCUAUAUCAUUUUCACUGGAAAUGUAAUACAGCAUGAAAAACAAACAAAGUAAGCUUACUAGUUUAUUACUCAUAAACAAAUGAAAACAUACACACAAAGGGUGUCUUAUAUAGUUACUUUGUUCUUAAUUUACUUCGUUAUUUUCACCAAUAGAUUAGACCUUAUCAAUAGAUUCAAUGAUACUUAAGCAAAUUUUACUUUGUAAAAAAACAAAAAUUAUUGUAGAAACUCUCCACACAAAGGAAUAAAAGAUGUGAAAAUUCAAGAGGAAAAGAAAAGGCUUUCUGAUGAUAACAAUAUAAAAUCCUAAUGGAUUAUGGCAGGAAGACCACAAAAACAUAUUUGAUUUGGCUGCAUAAGAAAUUUGAACAGAUUUAAUUUAUGAAAUUCAAAACCUAAGAUUGUAUUGUCUUGUUUCAUAUGCCCAUGACUAUUGGGUUGCAUGCAUAGUGCGAUUGAUCAUCUAAGUAGGAGAAAUUUUAACAUUAUGUUUGGUUUAAUUAUUAGGUGGAGGGCGACAAGGAAACCAAAAGAGAUUAUCAGAAAGCAGAGGGAAGAGGAAUUGUUUAAAUUAAUUUCAAUUGUUUAAAUAAAUUUCAUUUUUUUUUAUGUAGUGGAAAAUGAGAUAUAUUAUUUUUAAUUACAAUCCUACAUCUCAUGCUAAAAUGUUGGACGUAAAUUCCCCUCUAAAAAAUUUAUCUUCAAAUCACCUAUCUUGAUAUCAAAUUUCUGGUGUAUUCAAGAAUAAGAACAAUUCUCCAUUCAGGAAUUCUUUUUCUUUAUAAGCUUCAAACCAAACAAGGAAAAAUAAGAAUAUCAAACUUUUCCCCUUUCCUUAUUUCCCAUUCUUUCCAAACAAAGUAACAAACAUUGUGCAAUAGUUCUCAUAGCCCCUGCCCCAUUAUAGGUUUAUAAGUGUAGCCUAGAUCACUGAAGACUUAGCAUAUAUUGAACACCCCAUCACUAAGACUAAUUGUUAUGUUCUAUACUGAAAGGUCAAAGGUAUGGUACUACCAAUAUUUCAGAUUUAGCAACAUGUAUGGCACAUGGGUUUCAAUAGAUGCAUAUUGAAGUUCUGAGGAACUGAAUACAAUAUAUUAUUGGAUAAUGGAAUGAAUGAUCUCCUUGAUGCUACAGACAGUAGUUAAGUAGUCUUUUUUUCUCUGCCAGAAAUAUUGCAUGCCCAGGCAAGCUUGAAACAAAUAAAAAAAACAUGGCAAAUAUAGUUAAUUAAAAUCAGACCUACUUAUUGAGCUGCAUCUUCAGAAAAGCGAGCAUCAAAAGGAGCAGAGGAAUGGGCAUGCGCUGCAACACCACCAGCUGCACCUGAACCAUGCUGCAGUUCAAUAACAAGCCAUCGUACAGCUUUACUCAUCUGCUCCAACCGAACAGCACUAAUGGGUGGAAGACCUGUUGUCCCAGCCUGUCCUGACUUCCCUGUCACAGAUCCAGUGGCCUCAUCCACCAGACACUCUGAUCCUAUCCUCUGCUUCACAGACUCAACAAACUCCUCUGCCUGAUCACAGGCCACCCUAAACAACUCCCACCUCUGCUUAAAAUUUUCCAAUGCAGCAUCAGUGGCUGCUGUUUUCUGUGCACCAGCAACCUCCUUGGCCUCAAGCACAUUAGCUGCUGCAGCCACAAACUCCUGAUAUGCAUUGUUUAAAGAGUCUACAAGGUUGUCCAUCACAGCCCCGCUUAUGCUUCUCCUCAGCACAGCUAACUUUCAAGAUUUGGUAACAACUGCAUGAACUGAGACAUAAUGAGACGUGACACAAAGUAUAAAAUGAUUAAUAAACAUCUUGUUCCCCGAUUGAACAAAUUAACAAAAAUUUCCCAUUACAAUUUUCAAUUCUAAUUCAGAACAAUAACAAUCGGCAGCACCAAAUUCUAAUAGUUUCAUCAAGAACAGCAAUUUCAAACCAAAAUAUAGAUUAAGCACAUUAAAUUUACGGAAUAAUUUAGUAUAAUUCAUUAUUCAAGUUCUAAAUAAGCAGCAAAAACAAAAAGGAUUCACAAGAUACUUUCUGAUUUAGAACAUUUCGGGAGUUAAUUUGGUACUAUAACCCUUUGUUUGGACUGAGGAAAAUGGAGAGAAGAGAUAAUUUCUUUAAAUUCCUGUUUGGAUAUCAAAUAGAAGAGAGAAUUGAAGAGAAAGGAAGAGAAAGAAUGAGAAAUUUAAACCCAUAAUAUUUCUCUCCAAAUUGCUGGAAAAUGGAAAGGAAUGAUUGUUAAAAUAUUUAAAUAUCCUUCUACAACGUAAACAUAAGAAAGAAAAUGAGGGUAUAAUAGGUAUUUCCCCUCUAUUCUUUUAAGAAAGAAAUUACAUUUCUCUCCUAUUCUGAUAAUCUAUCCAAACAACAUAGAGUAAAUUAAAUUUCCUUUCUUUUCUUUUCUCUUCAUUUUCCCUCUUUAAUUUCUCUCCAUUUCCCCUGACAAGUGAAGGAUCCAAACAAAGGGUUAGGGUAGAGCGGCAGAGCCAUAAUGCUCUACAUAGUUUUCAGCAUAAACAAGGUCAACAAUACAGGACAUACCUUAACUAUCACUUCCGCAAAAUUACAUAUUAAUAAAAUAUUUUAUCAAAAUGAAAACCCUUUCCCAGGAGAUGGAGCAUUAGGUGAGAGGUCCCUUGUUGGGGCAUAUCAUACAGCAAAGACAAUGUUAUUUAUUUAGAUUAAACACUAAGUCAAUAAAGUCAGAAGCCAAACAUUAAUAUGAUGUAACCAACAAAAAUGAGUAGACUUACAUUGAAGCACUUAGUUGAGACUCAUCCGUAGCCCAAGUUUUUCCCAAAGUAGUCAUGGCAACACCAGCCAUGCUUACAAGGACAGCUACUACUUUCGCUGCAUUUAAAGUAUCUUGGCCCAAAAAUACACCAAUGAAAAGAGUAAAAAGUCCUGAUGUUGAUGACAAAACUGUUGUACUUGCAACACUUGUACGUGCAAGUGCAGCAUUUGAUAAAUACUCUGUUACAAACCAGAUUGGGGC